rnacentral:misc_RNA from 1 species
GAAACGCGAUAGUUAAUGUGAAUUGCAGAAUUUAGUGAAUCAUCGAGUCUUUGAACGCACAUUGCGCCCCCUGGUAUUCCGGAGGGCACGUCUGUUCGAGCGUCAGUGAAAACCAUUCCGGCACCGGUUUUUCGGAACCGCGCUGCCCGGGCACCUGACGGUGGAAAUGCCCCGCGAGUCCUAGCGGCCCGUGGCGCACGGCAUCCACCGUUUAAAACCGUGGGAAAUCGCAUACCGUACACGCGACGUAGUAAUUCUCGAAGAACUCGUCAACGGUUGUCGGUAAAGCAGGCCCCCUUAUCACUACAGUUUUUGUCACCAAAAACCAGACGUUUGACCUCGGAUCAGAUGAGGAUACCCGCUGAACUUAA